rfam:Phaeodactylum tricornutum CCAP 1055/1 chromosome 6, whole genome shotgun sequence.
AAACCGGAUUUUCUAAAAUCCACCCAAACAACCAAAGAAAGUUUG